ACCAAGUGGAGCAUUAAGGUAUUUGAAUAAUUUGGUAUUGAAUUCAAGGUUGACAUUAUGAGCUAGCUUUGAUUUGCAUGCCCGUUUCCAAGUUUGGCAGUGUAUGCUAUGUUUCAGGCUAACGCUUGAAUCAUAUUCUCCCUAAACUUGAGGGUAAUGCGUGAGGCUGGUUUCACAGAGCAGCGAUUACCUCUCACUCUCAACGGUGGAAGGAUUACAACUCAUUUGCUCAUAUUGUCAAUUAGCCUUGGAAACCACCAAAUUCAACAAAUAUUUUUUAUUUUAUAAAUAGAAUCCAUAUUCUUUGUUUAUUUUUCAAUUCUACAAUUUAAAUUGCAAAUAUACGCAAAAAUACUAUUCAAUCAAAUUAAAAUUACCCUAAAAUAGGAAACUUGGUUUCUCUGACCAUUUCACCUCAUCUGAUGAUUUUUUUUUUAACUUAUAUACAAAAUAAUACUAUAAGAAAUUAUCCCACAUCGAAGAUAUUUAAAUAAGCUUUGUUGUUUAUAUACAAGAAAUCUACAAAUCAAUCGCUGAGCUCGGUAACGUGGGUUUGUCACCAAGUGGAGCAUUAAGGUAUUUGAAUAAUUUGGUAUUGAAUUCCAGGUUGACAUUAUGAGCUAGCUUUGAUUUGCAUGCCCGUUUCCAAGUUGGGCAGUGUAUGCUAUGUUUCAGGCUAACGCUUGAAUAAUAUUCUCCCUAAACUUGAGGGUAAUGCGUGAGGCUGGUUUCACAGAGCAGCGAUUACCUCUCUCUCUCAACGGUGGAAGGAUUACAAGUCAUUUGCUCAUAUUGUCAAUUACCCUGUCAAUUAGCCUUGGAAUCCACAAAAUUCAACAAAUAUUUUUAUUUAUAAAUAGAAUCCAUACUCUUUGUUUAUUUUUCAAUUCUACAAUUUAAAUUGCAAAUAUACGAAAAAAUACUAUUCAGUCAAAUUAAAAUGACCCGAAAAUAGGAAACUUGGUUUCUCUGACCAUUUCACCCCAUCUGAAGAUUGUUUUUUAAAACUUAUAUAACAAAAUAACACUAUAAGAAAUAAUCCCACAUCGAAGAAAUUGAAAAAGCUUUGUUGUUUAUAUACAAGAAAUCUACAAAUCAAUCGCUGAGCUCGGUAACGUGGGCUUGUCACCAAGUGGAGCAUUAAGGUAUUUGAAUAAUUUGGUAUUGAAUUCAAGGUUGACAUUAUGAGCUAGCUUUGAUUUGCCCGUUUCCAAGUUGGGCAGUGGAUUCUAUGUUUCAGUCUAACGCAUGAAUCAUAUUCUCCCUAAACUUGAGGGUAAUGCGUGAGGCUGGUUUCACAGAGCAGCGAUCAUCUCUAACUCUCAACGGUGGAAAGAUUACAAGUCAUUUGCUCAUAUUGUCAAUUAGCCUUGGAAUCCACCAAAUUCUACAAAUAUUUUUUAUUUUAUAAAUAUAAUCCAUAUUCUUUGUUUAUUUUUCAAUUCUACAAUUUAAUUUGCAAAUAUACGAAAAAAUAUUAUUCAGUCAAAUUAAAAUGACUCGAAAAUAGGAAACUUGGUUUCUCUGACCAUUUCACCCCAUCUGAAGAUUUUUUUUUAAAACUUAUAUAACAAAAUAACACUAUAAGAAAUAAUCCCACAUCAAAGAAAUUGAAAAAAGCUUUGUUGUUUAUAUACAAUAAAUCUACAAAUCAAUCGCUGAGCUCGGUAACGUGGGUUUGUCACCAAGUGGAGCAUUAAGGUAUUUGAAUAAUUUGGUAUUGAAUUCAAGGUUGACAUUAUGAGCUAGCUUUGAUUUGCCCGUUUCCAAGUUGGGCAGUGGAUUCUAUGUUUCAGUCUAACGCUCGAAUCAUAUUCUCCCUAAACUUGAGGGUAAUGCGUGAGGCUGGUUUCACAGAGCAGCGAUUAUCUCUAACUCUCAACGGUGGAAGGAUUACGAGUCAUUUUCUCAUAUUGUCAAUUACCCUUGGAAUCCACCAAAUUCAACAAAUAUUUUUUAUUUUAUAAAUAGAAUCCACAUUNNNNNNNNNNNNNNNNNNNNNNNNNNNNNNNNNNNNNNNNNNNNNNNNNNNNNNNNNNNNNNNNNNNNNNNNNNNNNNNNNNNNNNNNNNNNNNNNNNNNUGCAAAUAUAUGAAAAAAUACUAUUCAGUCAAAUUAAAAUGACCCUAAAAUAGGAAACUUGGUUUCUCUGACCAUUUCACCCCAUCUGAAGAUUUUUUUUUUAAACUUAUAUAACAAAAUAACACUAUAAGAAAUAAUCCCACAUCGAAGAAAUUGAAAAAAGCUUUGUUGUUUAUAUACAAGAAAUCUACAAAUCAAUCGAUGAGCUCGGUAACGUGGGCUUGUCACCAAGUGGAGCAUUAAGGUAUUUGAAUAAUUUGGUAUUGAAUUCCAGGUUGACAUUAUGAGCUAGCUUUGAUUUGCAUGCCCCUUUCCAAGUUGGGCAGUGUAUGCUAUGUUUCAGGCUAACGCUUGAAUAAUAUUCUCCCUAAACUUGAGGGUAAUGCGUGAGGCUGGUUUCACAGAGCAGCGAUUACCUCUCUCUCUCAACGGUGGAAGGAUUACAAGUCAUUUGCUCAUAUUGUCAAUUACCCUGUCAAUUAGCCUUGGAAUCCACAAAAUUCAACAAAUAUUUUUAUUUUAUAAAUAGAAUCCAUGCUCUUUGUUUAUUUUUCAAUUCUACAAUUUAAAUUGCAAAUAUACGAAAAAAUACUAUUCAGUCAAAUUAAAAUGACCCGAAAAUAGGAAACUUGGUUUCUCUGACCAUUUCACCCCAUCUGAAGAUUGUUUUUUAAAACUUAUAUAACAAAAUAACACUAUAAGAAAUAAUCCCACAUCGAAGAAAUUGAAAAAAGCUUUGUUGUUUAUAUACAAGAAAUCUACAAAUCAAUCGCUGAGCUCGGUAACGUGGGCUUGUCACCAAGUGGAGCAUUAAGGUAUUUGAAUAAUUUGGUAUUGAAUUCAAGGUUGACAUUAUGAGCUAGCUUUGAUUUGCCCGUUUCCAAGUUGGGCAGUGGAUGCUAUGUUUCAGGCUAACGCUUGAAUCAUAUUCUCCCUAAACUUGAGGGUAAUGCGUGAGGCUGGUUUCACAGAGCAGCGAUUACCUCUCACUCUCAACGGUGGAAGGAUUACAACUCAUUUGCUCAUAUUGUCAAUUAGCCUUGGAAUCCACCAAAUUCAACAAAUAUUUUUUAUUUUAUAAACAGAAUCCAUAUUCUUUGUUUAUUUUUCAAUUCUACAAUUUAAAUUGCAAAUAUACGCAAAAAUACUAUUCAAUCAAAUUAAAAUUACCCUAAAAUAGGAAACUUGGUUUCUCUGACCAUUUCACCUCAUCUGAAGAUUUUUUUUUUUAACUUAUAUACAAAAUAAUACUAUAAGAAAUUAUCCCACAUCGAAGAUAUUUAAAUAAGCUUUGUUGUUUAUAUACAAGAAAUCUACAAAUCAAUCGAUGAGCUCGGUAACGUGGGCUUGUCACCAAGUGGAGCAUUAAGGUAUUUGAAUAAUUUGGUAUUGAAUUCCAGGUUGACAUUAUGAGCUAGCUUUGAUUUGCAUGCCCGUUUCCAAGUUGGGCAGUGUAUGCUAUGUUUCAGGCUAACGCUUGAAUAAUAUUCUCCCUAAACUUGAGGGUAAUGCGUGAGGCUGGUUUCACAGAGCAGCGAUUACCUCUCUCUCUCAACGGUGGAAGGAUUACAAGUCAUUUGCUCAUAUUGUCAAUUACCCUGUCAAUUAGCCUUGGAAUCCACAAAAUUCAACAAAUAUUUUU
rnacentral:lncRNA from 1 species